ensembl:lncRNA
CUGUUUUCCUUAGCUGUGGCUAUCAGAGAGAACCUGGGGCGGGAGGGGGGGUAUCCUUUACAAUACACUAUUGUUAGACAUCCAGUUUUAUGAUUCUGUUUCAAUAGUGGCUUAUUAACUGCACAUCUUUUCUUUUUUUUCUUUGUAGAUUUGGUUUGAGAUAAAUGUAGCCGUGUGGUAAUGAGAUUUUAAAGAAUGUUUUCCUCAACAAUGUGAAUUGUUAUGUCUACAAGGCUGGUAUGUGAAAGAAAGAAAUGAAUGAAUGAGGGCAGGUAUGAAAUCUGCGUAGGGAAUACGUGAUCCUUUUUAUGAAAAUGUUUCCUUCACAAUAAGUAAGAUACUGAUGGUCAAUAAAUAAGAUCUAUUGUCUACGGCCGAGCAGGGGAUGGUACUUUGGAGAAUAACUGACAUCAUGCUCCAUCAUUUCUGGGAAGGAAGCUGAUAAACACAGGUGGUCCAUGAUUCUGGAAGCAAGAAUGAAGCUGACAACUUUAUGAGAAUCUGCCCUACUUCAAAACGAUUCCCGUGCAAGUCAAGGCACCACCCAUGAUGACCAAAGAAGGAGGAGGUAUGGUACCUCGGAAAGAGCACUGGCAUGACCUGGUUCCAGAUUCUACCUCUAAUGUUGUGUGAUGUGAGGAUGUGGUACAAAGAAGAUGCUUAAUAAA